GAUGAACGCUGGCGGCGUGCCUAAUACAUGCAAGUCGAGCGAACGGACGAGAAGCUUGCUUCUCUGAUGUUAGCGGCGGACGGGUGAGUAACACGUGGAUAACCUACCUAUAAGACUGGGAUAACUUCGGGAAACCGUAGCUAAUACCGGAUAAUAUUUUGAACCGCAUGGUUCAAAAGUGAAAGACGGUCUUGCUGUCACUUAUAGAUGGAUCCGCGCUGCAUUAGCUAGUUGGUAAGGUAACGGCUUACCAAGGCAACGAUGCAUAGCCGACCUGAGAGGGUGAUCGGCCACACUGGAACUGAGACACGGUCCAGACUCCUACGGGAGGCAGCAGUAGGGAAUCGUCCGCAGUGGGCGAAAGCCUGACGGAGCAACGCCGCGUGAGUGAUGAAGGUCUUCGGAUCGUAAAACUCUGUUAUUAGGGAAGAACAUAUGUGUAAGUAACUGUGCACAUCUUGACGGUAACUAAUCAGAAAGCCACGGCUAACUACGUG
rnacentral:rRNA from 1 species